GUCUCCGUGAUGGCUCAGUCGGAUAGAGCGUCUGCCAUGUAAGCAGGAGAUUCCGGGUUCGAGUCCCGGUCAGGGCA